UUAACUCAAAUUUGUAUGGAGUGGGAACGUUUGCCUACGCUUACCGUUAGGGGCGCUGUUCCAACUGCAUACAAACUUGAGUUA
rfam:Bombyx mori DNA, contig: Bm_scaf40_contig23141, strain: p50T/Dazao, build 2, whole genome shotgun sequence.